rnacentral:rRNA from 1 species
GACGAACGCUGGCGGCGUGCUUAACACAUGCAAGUCGAACGGAAAGGCCCUUCGGGGUACUCGAGUGGCGAACGGGUGAGUAACACGUGGGUGAUCUGCCCUGCACUUUGGGAUAAGCCUGGGAAACUGGGUCUAAUACCGAAUAUGAUCAUCGGCUUCAUGGUCGGUGGUGGAAAGCUUUUGCGGUGUGGGAUGGGCCCGCGGCCUAUCAGCUUGUUGGUGGGGUAAUGGCCUACCAAGGCGCCGACGGGUAGCCGGCCUGAGAGGGUGUCCGGCCACACUGGGACUGAGAUACGGCCCAGACUCCUACGGGAUGCAGCAGUGGGGAAUAUUGCACAAUGGGCGCAAGCCUGAUGCAGCGACGCCGCGUGGGGGAUGACGGCCUUCGGGUUGUAAACCUCUUUCAGCACAGACGAAGCGCAAGUGACGGUAUGUGCAGAAGAAGCACCGGCCAACUACGUGCCAGCAGCCGCGGUAAUACGUAGGGUGCGAGCGUUGUCCGGAAUUACCGGGCGUAAAGAGCUUGUAGGUGGUUUGUCGCGUUGUUCGUGAAAUCUCACGGCUUAACUGUGAGCGUGCGGGCGAUACGGGCAGACUAGAGUACUGCAGGGGAGACUGGAAUUCCUGGUGUAGCGGUGGAAUGCGCAGAUAUCAGGAGGAACACCGGUGGCGAAGGCGGGUCUCUGGGCAGUAACUGACGCUGAGAAGCGAAAGCGUGGGGAGCGAACAGGAUUAGAUACCCUGGUAGUCCACGCCGUAAACGGUGGGUACUAGGUGUGGGUUUCCUUCCUUGGGAUCCGUGCCGUAGCUAACGCAUUAAGUACCCCGCCUGGGGAGUACGGCCGCAAGGCUAAAACUCAAAGGAAUUGACGGGGGCCCGCACAAGCGGCGGAGCAUGUGGAUUAAUUCGAUGCAACGCGAAGAACCUUACCUGGGCUUGACAUGCACUAGAAAGCCGUAGAGAUACGGCCCCCCUUGUGGUUGGUGUGCAGGUGGUGCAUGGCUGUCGUCAGCUCGUGUCGUGAGAUGUUGGGUUAAGUCCCGCAACGAGCGCAACCCUUGUCUCAUGUUGCCAGCGGGUAAUGCCGGGGACUCGUGAGAGACUGCCGGGGUCAACUCGGAGGAAGGUGGGGAUGACGUCAAGUCAUCAUGCCCCUUAUGUCCAGGGCUUCACACAUGCUACAAUGGCCGGUACAAAGGGCUGCGAUGCCGUGAGGUGGAGCGAAUCCUUUCAAAGCCGGUCUCAGUUCGGAUCGGGGUCUGCAACUCGACCCCGUGAAGUCGGAGUCGCUAGUAAUCGCAGAUCAGCAACGCUGCGGUGAAUACGUUCCCGGGCCU